rnacentral:rRNA from 1 species
UACAGAGGUGGCAAGCGUUGUUCGGAUUUAUUGGGCGUAAAGGGUCCGUAGGCGGUUUGGAAAGUCAGAUGUGAAAGCCCACAGCUCAACUGUGGAACUGCAUUUGAAACUUCCAGACUAGAGUAUGAGAGGGGUUAAGGGAAUUCCCGGUGUAAGGGUGAAAUCUGCAGAGAUCGGGAGGAACACCAGUCGCGAAGGCGCUUAACUGGCUCAUUACUGACGCUCAGGGACGAAAGCUAGGGUAGCAAAC